GACGAACGCUGGCGGCGUGCUUAACACAUGCAAGUCGAACGGAAAGGCCCUGCUUUUGUGGGGUUCUCGAUUGGCGAACGGUUGAGUAACACGUGAGUAACCUGCCCUUUACUUUGUGAUAACUUCAGGAAACUGGGGCUAAUACCGGAUAGGAGCUCCUGCUGCAUGGUGGGGGUUGGAAAGUUUCGGCGGUUGGGGAUGGACUCGCGGCUUAUCAGCUUGUUUGUGGGGUAGUGGCUUACCAAGGCUUUGACGGGUAGCCGGCCUGAGAGGGUUACCGGCCACAUUGGGACUGAGAUACGGCCCAGACUACUACGGGAGGCAGCAGUGGGGAAUAUUGCACAAUGGGAGGAAGACUGAUGCAGAAACGCAGGGUGCGGGAUGACGGCCUUCGGGUUGUAAAAAGAUUUAGAAUGUGACGAAGCGUGAGUGACGGUAAUGGGUAAAGAAGCAACGGCUAACUACGUG
rnacentral:rRNA from 1 species